rnacentral:lncRNA from 1 species
UUAACGACGACAUCAAACUUCAUAUAAUGCUUGAAAGUGUGGAUAAUACACUUUGUUUUGAUUCUACGGGCAUUAUGAAGAUCAAAGUAUUUAGACAGAAAUAUCUUCUUAAGGCAGGAUGUCGUCUGCCACGAACCGACUCCUUUAUCCAAUAAUGUCAAGCACAGACAUAAUUUUUUACAUUAGCACCUACAGAGAAUCAGCUUCAAACCCUUUCAUCUUGAAAGCAUAUUGAAUUCUUUCCGAAAUUGUGUAAAAACAAAAUUAAAAAAUAAAUAAGUAUUAAUUUUGUAAAUGACAAUAGUAAGACAAAAGUUUAUUUUUUAAUUGAUGUAUUAAUGCUAAAUUAUGUUCAAAUUUUCAAAACAAAAGACAUUAAUGAAUAUAUCUCAAAAAAAGGCUUGUAUUUUAUAGUAUAUAUUAUUAUAAAAUAAGAAAAAUUAAUUUAAAUCAUUAAAGUUGUUGUAAGAAUACUUUAUUCUUAAUUAACUAAGUUUUAAUUUUGAUUUCUCUAAGCAUAUAUUAAUGUUUGAUUAUAUUCAUCUAACCUCAAAAUUUGUAAUCGUUAAAAUAUAUAAUAACUAGCAUAUUAAUUUUUGUUAACAUUUACUUUUAACGUUGUUGAUUGCAUUA